rnacentral:rRNA from 1 species
GAGCCCACGAUUGAAAGCUGGCGUCUUCGGCGUCCGCAUUGUAAUCUCAAGAAGUGUUUUCCGCUUCGGACCAUGCCUAAGUCCCUUGGAAAAGGGCAUCAUAGAGGGUGAUAAUCCCGUACAUGGCAUGGAGCGCCCGAAGCUUUGUGAUACGCUUUCUAAGAGUCGAGUUGUUUGGGAAUGCAGCUCAAAAUGGGUGGUAAAUGCCAUCUAAGGCUAAAUAUUGGGGAGAGACCGAUAGCGAACAAGUACAGUGAUGGAAAGAUGAAAAGAACUUUGAAAAGAGAGUUAAACAGUACGUGAAAUUGCCAAAAGGGAAGGGUAGGAGGUCAGAGAUGCGGCCUGGGAUUCAGCCUUGCUUUUGCUUGGUGUUUUUCCUGCGUUGCAGGCCAACGUCGGUUUUGGGCACUGGAGAAGGGUAGGAGGAACGUGGCACCUCUCGGGGUGUGUUAUAGCCUCCUACUGGAUACAGCGACCGAGACCGAGGAACGCAGCGUACUCGUAAGAGCGGGCCUUUUGGCACCUUUACGCUUAGGGCGUUGGCAUAAUGGCCCUCUACCACCCGUCUUGA